rnacentral:rRNA from 1 species
AGAUUGAACGCUGGCGGCAUGCCUAACACAUGCAAGUCGAACGGGAGUAGCAAUACUCUAGUGGCGGACGGGUGAGGAAUACGUAGGAAUUUGCCCUUAAGUGGGGGAUAACCCGGGGAAACCCGGAUUAAUACCGCAUGACCUCGAAAGAGCAAAGUGGGGGAUCGCAAGACCUCACGCUUUUGGAGAAGCCUACGUCGGAUUAGCUAGUUGGUGAGGUAAUGGCUCACCAAGGCGACGAUCCGUAACUGGUCUGAGAGGAUGAUCAGUCACACCGGAACUGAGACACGGUCCGGACUCCUACGGGAGGCAGCAGUGGGGAAUGUGGACAAUGGGCGCAAGCCUGAUCCAGCAAUGCCGCGUGUGUGAAGAAGGCCGUUGGUUGUAAAGACUACGUUUAAGUUAGGGAAAGUAAAAAACGUACGACGUACUAACGAC